UCUCACUGUUUGUAAUCUUUUUUGUUUUAAUGGGUUCCCUGUAUCUACUUUGUUUCUAUGUGUAUUAAUGUAUAUUGGUUGUUGAUGGGGUGAUCUCUCUCUCUCUCCCCUUUGUUCCUUGUUUUUUGAACAGAUGCUCUGUCUCUGUAUAGUUCUUACUUCUAAGUUAUCUGACAUGAAUAAUGUGAAGGCUAAUAAAUCUGCACACAAAGAGUACGUUCGUGACUUGAGUUUUUCAAGGACGGACCUGAAGUUUUGCUCUUGCUAUGACGAUGAUACUAUUAAAGUAUGAGACUUUGCUCGAUGUCAAGAAGAGCGGAGCUGGAAAUUGCGCCGUACUUAUCGAUAUGGCUUUGGAGAACCUGUAAUUUUCUGUGUUUAAUGUACUAAAUUUUGGGAAUGGGGUUGAGGUUGUGGUAGUAACACCAGUUGAGUCUCCUCAGCUAUUGGUUUAGGUUUUUAUUCCCACUAACGCAUUCGAAAACUUAUAAUUAUUUCUAAAAAUGGGUAGGGGCUUGUAUUUUCUGUGUUUAACAUACUAGUACAACGCCGUGCACAGCAUGGGAUGUACCAAGAUCAAUGAAUUAUGGAAAAAUGUUCAAAUCAAA